CUCCAGCCGGACGGCUCUGAGGCUGACACUGUUUGCUCGGGGCGGGUCCGCCGCUGUCAGUUCUCCGGGCGGAAGAGGCCGAGGGCAGGUGAGGCAGUAGGCACAAAGUGAGUUGCUGCUUCCAGGUUUAGAAAGAUUUGCCACAUGUCCAGGUAAUAUAGUGGAUGGGCGUGAAGGACUGGUAAGACAGGAAACAUGCAGAAAACACCAAUCAUCCUCGCCAAGCCUCCUGCGGAGAGGGUAAGGAAUGCGUUCCCUUACACGCACAGAGAGAGG